rnacentral:lncRNA from 1 species
GGAGGCAGUCAAAAGGAAAAACACAAAUAUCUCCAAGAUGGCACUUACAAAAAGCAACAACAAUGACAAAGUAUAAAUACAAACACACACCUUGAAGUUUAUGUUCUUACUCAAAUGCAAGCAUCAACAAUGGCCUACUGUCAGUAAGUUAAAUGGCUGUGGCUGUUUCAGUCUCCCAUUACAUGAAGAAUCUUCUGGAGAGGGAAAGAAGAAACCAUGUCUAGACAAGGUGCUGGAAAGACCCAGGGAAGACACAGGUGAGCUAAGAAAGCAGUAGAAACUGGGUAAUUAAAAGUCAACAUAAUGGCUGGAAACUUGUUCAAGGAGAUAUAAAAAGAAAGAAAAACCAAAAGAGAGACUGUAUAGAUGAACUUUGUCUAUUUACAAUUUUGUCUAAGGCCAAAUCUG